AACGAACGCUAGCGGCAGGCUUAACACAUGCAAGUCGAGCGGAGAUGAGGUGCUUGCACCUUAUCUUAGCGGCGGACGGGUGAGUAAUGCUUAGGAAUCUGCCUAUUAGUGGGGGACAACAUUCCGAAAGGAAUGCUAAUACCGCAUACGCCCUACGGGGGAAAGCAGGGGAUCUUCGGACCUUGCGCUAAUAGAUGAGCCUAAGUCGGAUUAGCGAGCUGGUGGGGUAAAGGCCUACCAAGGCGACGAUCUGUAGCGGGUCUUAGAGGAUGAUCCGCCACACUGGGACUGAGACACGGCCCAGACUCCUACGGGAGGCAGCAGUGGGGAAUAUUGGACAAUGGGCGGAAGCCUGAUCCAGCCAUGCCGCGUGUGUGAAGAAGGCCUCUUGGUUGUAAAGCACUUUAAGCGAGGAGGAGGCUACCGAGAUUAAUACUCUUGGAUAGUGGACGUUACUCGCAGAAUAAGCACCGGCUAACUCUGUGCCAGCCGCCGCGGUAAGAC
rnacentral:rRNA from 1 species